GCCUUGUGGUAUUAAGGAUUAAGCCUGUAAGAAUUUUGAUUUGUAGGGCAGACUUCCCCCCCUGCUGAGGGUGGGAGAAACAACACAUUGUGACUUAAUGCUGCAAAGAUUAGAAUUUAUCUACUCAGAGCUUUCCAGAUGUCAUCUGCUUUGUGGGACUGAUUGUGUUUUUACAGUUUGAGUGAAGAUAUUAGAGUGACUUUUUGUAUCCACAGGAGUGAAUGACGUUUACCCAAUACUACUCUGGGCAAGGAAGAGUCAAUGUACUCCUCUCUGCCCAACCUGAAUCAACAAAUAAAUGAGUUUACCUCCUCUUUAAUUACAGAAUCCGAACUGCAAAUGUCAAUCAGCUCAGAUAACCAGUGUCUCCUCAGGAAGAAAGUCAGGAGCUCCUCAAUGGGAUCUAGAAAAGGAAACACCUGCUGGCACUCAAGCAACCUUAAUAAAUUCCAGCCAGAU